rnacentral:lncRNA from 1 species
GAAGAAAUUUUUCCUCAUAUCCAACCUGAAGUUAAACAACAAAUGUUGCUUGUGGACAGUUCUAUUCCUGGAUAACUUGGGAUUGCACCAUGCUUAUAGAUCAGUUCAAUUGAUGUAACAAGCCUUGCUUGACUCCUCAUAGAGUCUUUCAUCACAUCUUCUCUCAACACACGCUUAGCAGCAUCCUCAGUCUGGUUCAGUGUGUUGCUUACACUGGUACAGACAGCUUGGGAAACUGGCACAGAGUGGUGCAUGUGGCCAUUCCUAUGUGGAGCAGUCCCAGCUGGUGUGGAACGCACAGGUAUCCAUGCUGCUUUUCUUCGAUUGUAUCUGGAUGUGAUCACCACAAGACUGCACAAGAUAUCAGGCUACAGUAAUGUUGGUGUCAGCCAAAGGGCCUGAAGGAAGACAAUAUAAUGCUAACUCCCAUCUCUUCCUUGCUCUCAAACCCCCUUCUGUGGAAGCAGAGCUGGAUGAAUGGAGUAGUAACAAUGCUGCUCAUUCAAGACCCCACAGAAAAAUGGAGUGACCCUAUAGCCAAACUUUGAGCUAUGUGAACAAUUGCCCAACUGCCCAGGGAUCAGAAGAGGAGAGACAGCACUUGAUGCAGAGGAGAUAAGUUGAUGGCACUUGUUUUAUUCAUGACCCUUGUGAGCUAAAAUGGGAGGUAGU